rnacentral:rRNA from 1 species
GACGAACGCUGGCGGCGUGCUUAACACAUGCAAGUCGAACGAAGUGGCGAACGGGUGAGUAACGCGUAAUCAACCUGCCCAUCAGAGGGGGACAACAGUUGGAAACGACUGCUCAUACCGCAUACUGAAGGAGGGGAUUGCGUGUGAUUAGCAAGUUGGAGGGGUACCGGCCCACCAAGGCGAUGAUCGGUAGCCGGUCUGAGAGGAUGGACGGCCACAAUGGGACUGUGACACGGCCCAGGCUCCUACGGGGGGCAGCAGUGGGGAAUCUUCCGGAAUGGGCGAAAGUCUGACGGAGCAACGCCGCGGGAGUGAUGACGGCCUUCGGGUUGUAAAGCUCUGUUAAUCGGGACGCGGUACCGGAAUAGAAAGCCACGGCUAACUACGUGCCAGCAGCCGCGGUAAUAC